UACGUAGGUGGCAAGCGUUGUCCGGAAUUAUUGGGCGUAAAGCGCGCGCAGGCGGUCCUUUAAGUCUGAUGUGAAAGCCCACGGCUCAACCGUGGAGGGUCAUUGGAAACUGGAGGACUUGAGUGCAGAAGAGAAGAGUGGAAUUCCACGUGUAGCGGUGAAAUGCGUAGAGAUGUGGAGGAACACCAGUGGCGAAGGCGACUCUUUGGUCUGCAACUGACGCUGAGGCGCGAAAGCGUGGGGAGCAAACAGG
rnacentral:rRNA from 1 species